rnacentral:other from 1 species
GGUUCCCUGCGUUGUGCGUGAUGGUGUUCGGAGGCUCGCUUGAGCCAAUGUUUCACCUAAGUGAGUCGCGACGUUGCGUGGUGCGCAUACCUCUGUUCGAGGAAGCCUGAAGCGCAACUUCUCCAGCGGCUCCACCUGCCCAGCAGGUUCAUGCGACCUCCCCACACGGCAACGCGGGGAACCU